UCCGAGUUACUCCCGCUGAGGAGGUCUUUGGUCAUCUGUAAAUAGGCAGCCGAAUAAGGGGAGGGCAAGCCUGGGGUCAUCCGCCGGGGUAAUACCAGCUCCUCGGGUGGUCGGCGUCAUUAGUGGGCUUAAAGCAUCCGUAGCUGGUUCCGUAGGUCAUCUGUUAAAUCCAACCGGUUAACGGUUGACCCGCUGAUGAUACCGCGGGACCAGGAGGCCGGAGAGCCGGACGGUACUCCGGGGGUAGCGGUAAACUCCUUUGAUCCACGGAAGUCCACCAGUGGGGAAGGCGUUCCGCCAGAACGCGCUGGUCGGUGAGGGAUGAAAGGUGGGGGAGCGAACCGGUUUAGAUACCCGGGUAGUCCCAGCCGUAACCGAUGCUAGUUAGAUGAUUCAUUGUCAAGUCGCGAAUGAAGGUAGCAGGGAAGCCCUUAAGCAAGCCGGGUGGGGCACAGGAAUGCACGGCAAUCACAGAAUGGUGCGAUCGCAGAGGAUGGAUA
rnacentral:rRNA from 1 species